CAUAACACAUUUCAAUGGAAUCAACACCGUUUGCAUUUACACUGAUAGUCCAUUGGUUUCCUUCUGCUCAAACUACACUGUAGACUUUGUGAAUCUUAAUUACUUUUUGUUCCCAACUUAAGAAUUUCUUUAAAAAUCCGUAAGCCUCGUCGUGCGGGAGCGAUUGAACAUCUGAAAUCUGUUCGUCUAUGUGGAUUUUGGUCUGGAAAAUGAAUUUCAGGGUCUAAUCUAAUGUACUAUCUAGCGGAAGACGUUGACGGUCUUUUGUUUGGAAACGGGACGAAGAAGUUGGAGGAUUUGUAGCUGAUGAUGAUGGUCUUGGGUAUGGUGUUGCAGCUCAAGAAGAAAAAUAGACUCAAUCUAGGUUUUCCUUUUUCAUCAAGAAAAAUCUGAAGGCGAAAAUGAAAAUUUCAAAAAGAAAAAUAAAGAGAAAAUAGAUCAAUGUAGCAGUUGAAACACCUAAUCCUUUGUUAGCUGCUGCUGCUGCGACGGGUAAGCAAACCUUACUUUCUAUUCUAUUUCUAUGUUAUUCCUGAAUGUGCCCUGAAGAAGGCGAUAGGGAAUAACGGCGGAGGGGACAACUGGGUUUGUAUCUGGUUCAAGGACUUUUCGUCAGAUGCGCAUUAUCUUGGUAAGCAAUUUUGUUUGGUUUCUUACAUUUUUAUAAAUUGUUGUAUUAGGGUUUAUAGUUAGUGCUAAUCUCCUUGAUCAAAUUUAGUGUAGGUACUAACUGGUACCAGGAUCAUAUAAACGAUGAAGAGGGAUUUGUUAGGGUUUGAUUCUGUUGUUAGUUCCCAAGUCCAUUAAUGUUAGUAGAAGUGAAAACCUAAUAAGUGAUGAUAUGGAUCUUUGCCUUUUUAGUUUACUGAUGAUGCUCAUGAGGAGCUAUAUGGUCCCAGUUCUGGUGUUAUUUGUCUCUGUGGAAAGGUAAUUUACAUGACAAAUGAAAAAUAUUUGUGAACUCACCUAGUCAUACAUACAUAUAACCAAAAUUACCAGAAUAUGAACUUGAAUGCCAAUUUUAUUCUUCAGUUAUCGGAAUUCUUAGUCUGGUUUAAGACUACCUAUGUCACUUAGUAGUAUAGUCGCCUGAGAUAAAACUUAACACGCUUUCUAUCCUUCAUUUUGUUUGACGAACUCGUGAUAAAAUUUGGAUGAAAAUACAUUGUAACGAGCUGGGUUUUGUGAACGUGUAUCGUAAAAGAAGCAGGAGGUACAUUUCAGAACUGUUGUGCGGUUGUCAACAACAUGCAGAGAUGUGUUUAUGUUAUCCAAAUGGUUCUGUAGUACAAAAUGAUGCAAUCUCAAAGCUUGAGGAGGAUGAAAAAGAAAAUCAGAUUUCAUGCGCAGAGUUCCGCUCAACACUGCAAGCAAUGGCAUCAGUAUGAAAGAAGUAAGAGAGAAGUUGUUUGAGCAGGGGAGAAGCUAUGCGUUUGAGCGGUCAGACAUUCUUAUGGGGGAGCGUUAUCUUCUUAAGAUAACUUACCCGUUUAAGGUCUAUCUUUGACACGCAAUAUACCACUCGGUCUUAUUCUGCACGUAAUUGGCGACUCAUAUACUACUCGGUCUUAAUCUGCACGUAAUUGGCGACUCUACCAAACGAACAAUUUAUACAAACUACGCUCAGUGUAAUGGACACCUCUGAUGGGAGCUCAAGGUCAGGAUACCAUUACAGAAAGAACUUGCAAGAAUUCAACCAGUGGUUGAUUUUGCAGCAUCAACUGUACAGAAAACUCUGCACGGUGCACACAUGGGUAGGUCCAGACUAAGGCUCUCUGCUUAUGAAUUGUAGAGUGAGCAGUGACAAUUUAUCUCUGGUAACAUUUCAAUUUAAUUCAAUUGCCUCAUCUUUGGCAUCUUUCCUACAAAAAAAGGUUGAUAGAAGUAUUUAUCAUGUGUAAGUGGCCUUGCUUAUUUCUGCUUCAACUGCUUCCAUUUGUCUCUCUAUGCCCAUCAACUUCUGGUUCAUUG